rnacentral:rRNA from 1 species
GGGCUAGAAUGUAUUUCGCUACCCCAAAAUUAGGGGUUCCUUCGGGACGGGACACAAGGUGCUGCAUGGCUGUCGUCAGCUCGUGCCGUGAGGUGUUGGGUUAAGUCCUAUAACGAGCGCAACCCUCUUACCUAAUUGCCAGCACGUAACGGUGGGAACUUUAGGUAGACUGCCCGCGCAAGCGGGAGGAAGGAGAGGAUGAGGUCAAGUCAUCAUGGCCUUUAUGCCCAGGGCUACAAACGUACUACAAUGGCGUGUACAGAGGGACGCUACUUGGCAACAAGAUGCAAAUCUCAAAAGCACGUCUCAGUUCGGAUUGGGGUCUGCAAUUCGACCCCAUGAAGUUGGAAUCGCUAGUAAUCGCGUAUCAGCAAUGACGCGGUGAAUACGUUCUCGGACCUUGUACACACCGCCCAUCAAGCCAUGGGAGUUGGUAGAGCUUGAGAAACAGUGGCA